AUUGAACGCUGGCGGCAGGCUUAACACAUGCAAGUCGAGCGGAGACUUCGGUCUUAGCGGCGAACGGGUGAGUAAUACCUAGGAAUCUGCCUAUUAGUGGGGGAUAACGAAUCGAAAGGUUCGCUAAUACCGCAUACGUCCUACGGGAGAAAGGGGGGGAUCUUCGGACCUCUCGCUAAUAGAUGAGCCUAGGCCGGAUUAGCUAGUUGGUAGGGUAAAGGCCUACCAAGGCGACGAUCUGUAGCUGGUCUGAGAGGAUGGCCAGCCACACUGGAACUGAGACACGGUCCAGACUCCUACGGGAGGCAGCAGUGGGGAAUAUUGGACAAUGGGGGCAACCCUGAUCCAGCCAUGCCGCGUGUGUGAAGAAGGCCUUCGGUUGUAAG
rnacentral:rRNA from 1 species